UAUAUAUAUAUAUAUCACUCCGUAAAGUACCACCCUUCUCGUGGUGUCCGGAACGCUCCUGUCGGCCCUUGAUAAUCCGAGCGAGGCAGUAAAAUUUCCGUGGCAGGCCGUACCCAUAUCCGCGGCAGAUCCCCAAGGUGAAGAGCCUCUGGCAAUUGAACAAUGUAGGUAAGGGAAGUCGGAAAAUUGGAUCCGUAACUUCGGGAGAAGGAGUGGCUCUGGGAGCCGAGUCAGACAGGCCGAGCUCAGAUAUGUGUCGGUUUCUUUACUGCUUUGUGUGCUUCGGUGCGCGUUGUGGUGAGGUUACUGGACUCUGACCAGGGUCGAUCGUGGGCGGUUUCAGCUGUCAGUGGGGUACAGCUAGCAACGCGCGAGGACUUGUUUUACGUUGCGUCAAGCGGCUUUACUUACAUGGUCUGGCGCGCGACAGCUAACUCAGAACUGGCACGGACCAGAGGAAUCCGACUGUCUAAUUAAAACAAGGCAUUCCGAUGUCCACUGAUUGGUUUUGACGCAAUGUGAUUUCUGCCCAGUGCUCUGAAUGUCAAAAUGAAGAAAUACAACCAAGCGCGAGUAAACGGCGGCAGUAACUAUGACUCUCUUAAGGUAAUAGAGUGAAAUACAAAUACUUUCAUAGUAAUAUUUGUAGAGGUCAAGAAAUACAUCUAAGAUGUAGUCAACUUAUUGGUAUAUAUAUUGCUUAGUUUACUUACGCCUGUUACUCUCAAUGGAGAAUAGGCCACAGACCAGCAU
rnacentral:ncRNA from 1 species